UGUCUAGCGGGCCUUAGAGGAAAAUAAAAGUUCUACGUUCUUCUUCUUUUUCUCCUAUUUAGGGCAGGUUUGUUCGGUAUUUCUAUAUCUACCAACGUAUAUCUCUCUCUCAAUUAUUAUCGUUCGCCUCGCCCAAUCACACCAGCCCAUGGCAAUGAGCGUGAGAGAGAACGAAAAUGUACAUGCGCAUGCGGCGCAUUCACACUUUUCGUAGGGCUACUUAAACUUAGCCCCCCUAUUUCGACUUUUUAAAUUUUUUCUAACGCGAAUCGUUUGAGGGUCGUUUGACGGUGUUUGUUUGAUCAAUUAAAACGUUUGUUUGAUCAUAAUAAUUCUAAAAAACGAAAUUGAAAAUUUGAAAAAAGUUAGCCCCAAUUUUUUAAUAUUUUUAUAGUAGCAAGGUCUAAUUAGGGUCAAAUCGACGGGGAAUCGUUUGACGGUGAUGAAUAUACGUUUGUUUGAUCACAGUUAUUGUAAAAAGAAGAAAAAAAGACAUUCCAAAAAAUGUUUGAUGAUCGGCCAUUUCACCCAGAGCAGUCAAUCUCAAAAAAUAUCGCUGUUCUUCUAAUUUUCACUGAAACCAUUUCAUAAUCGUUUGGUAGUGAUUGUUAGAUUAAUUGAGACAUUUAAAAAAUAUAUAAUCACUCUAAAAUAGGAAAUAGAAAAUUUCGUCGAAGUCCGAUCGAUUUUUCUGAUACACCCAAUAGAUGCGAAGAAUCGUCUCGGAGCAUUACGAGACCCCAUAUUGCAACUCUUGGACAUCAGUUCUUUGCGUCUUUGCGAGGUUAUCAAUACAAAAGUUUUAAAAAUCUUAUAAACUCUUCGAUUACACGAGCGAUACGAAAGUGAUACUAUUAUAUUUUAUGAAUGAGAACAACCAAUAAAUUACCAUUGUUGCAACUUGAUAUGCUCUUUAAUGAAAAUUAUGAUAUGAAGUUUUGUAUCCUUCGCAAAUCAUGAACUUGCUGGAGUCAUCCAAUCCACGCCAGGACUUCAAAAUAGAACAUAAUAAAAUGGAAAAAGCAUAAAUAAAAAUAAUUAAGAAAACUAUAAAAGUGGAUAGCUGUAUAAGUGAUUAACUGCAUAUAAUAACAUAAUAUAUUGAUAUUAGCUUUGCCGGGUUGUCCCUCGCUCUAAUAAUAAUCUUUCAGUCUUUUUGAAUCUUCUUAAUUUUUUUAACUUUUGUUAUUUGCAACAAACAAUCCCCUAGAGUAGUAAUAUGGCGUAUUGUCGAAAACGUUACGAACAGAUGUAAUUUCAUCACAACAAUAAAAAGUUUUGAAGAAUUUAAA
rnacentral:lncRNA from 1 species